UACGUAGGGUGCGAGCGUUGUCCGGAAUUAUUGAGCGUAAAGAGCUUGUAGGCGGUUUGUCGCGUCUGCCGUGAAAAUCCGGGGCUCAACCCCGGACUUGCGGUGGGUACGGGCAGACUAGAGUGUGGUAGGGGAGACUGGAAUUCCUGGUGUAGCGGUGAAAUGCGCAGAUAUCAGGAGGAACACCGAUGGCGAAGGCAGGUCUCUGGGCCACUACUGACGCUGAGAAGCGAAAGCAUGGGGAGCGAACAGG
rnacentral:rRNA from 1 species